AGAUCUCUGCAUAGUGGACAGUGCCUGUGACCCAUGUCCCCUGCUUGCAUUGUGAUGAACAGAGGCGCUCCUACACCAUCACCACCCACAUGAGACACACUUACUCAGGCUUCUGACUUCGUGCCUUAGGGUACAAAAGCCCAGACCAGAAUGAGAACUGAUCUCCCCUAUUAGCUGUUCAACUUGGGGGCAAGCCAUUUACCCUCGGAAAACUUCAGUGUCUUCUGAGUGUAAACUGAGAUCGUUAUAGCUUCCUCACAAGUGUGAGUAAAUGGAUGGUAGAUGGUUUGGUCACUGUUUAUAGGUGUCCUGGCAGUAGGAAGCGUGGCAGGUGUGAGAGGCAUUCACUCGUACCAGGAAUACUCUCCCCACCUUUUAAGACCCUCUCUGUUCUUCAUGCCUGUGGAUGGCAUCGUCUCCAUAUUGUUUUCACCAUCUCCUGCAACCGUCUAAUUCCCUUUGAAUGCCUGUCACACCUACUUUCUGCCAUUUCUUGGCCUCUUGUUGCCAGUUCUUCUGAGCCACUCUUCCGUUUUCCCGGUUUGACUAUAGGCCCUUUCAGUCUAGGGCCUUUCGAGACUAAAAUCACCCUUUCUAGUGAGUGUUUCAGUAAUGGCUCACGGGAGCCGUGAAUAUCAUUGCAUGUCAACACCCGUGUUUGGGCAGGUGGACAUGCUCAGGUUGGCAAGUGUUCAUGUCCUGGUAUCUGAGGCAGUGUACUAGUGUGCUGAGGACAGCUCAGAAAUGGCCAAGAUAAAAUGGAAGAGGGAGAAAUGCUACAGCGUCAAAUAGAACUCUUAGGGACUAUACUCAGAAAAGGCCAGCUUUGAGCUGUGUGUUCCCUCUGGGACCAGGUGAUUACAGUUUAGGAUGGACUGGGGAAUUUCCAUGCUGCUGGAAACACCAUAUGAGAACCUUCCUAGUAUUUGGGUUCAACAGCAAAUGCUGAGACAGAAAAAAUAUUUCCAUCCAUCUGCACUAAUCUCUUAUUUCCCUAGCAGUUAGAAAGAGAGAGAGGGGACGAAAAAAUAAAUUAAAGGCUGCAUCAGAAAAAAAGCUCAAGAGCCAGGCUUACGCUCAGCCCGCUGCCAGGUCAUUUUCUAGUCGGUACAGGAAAUGCCAAACUUCUGCGGCUAUUGGGUGGAGGUGCUGGGAAUAUAAUCAUUUGAACUGUGAUAAUUGAAGGCAUUAAAGAAGAAAGCCCAACUGAAAAACUUCCAGAAAGGCAAAGGCACUCAGAAUUCAAAUCAGGCCGCUCGCAUCCUCCAGUUUCUAGGAAGAAAGCUGCACUUUGUCAGGACCAGGUCUCCUUUCCGUGUCCCGGGACGAUCCACCCACCUGCAGCCGGUGCUCCGUGCCAAGCAAAACCCAAACCCCGGCACCUUGCUACUUACUUAUGUGCAGACCGUCCAUGACCAGGUAUGUUUGUAUGGCAGCUAUGGGAAGGUUGAAAAGGGUCCAGUACCUUCGUAAGGCCUCAGAGAACUCAUCUGUGAACAGGUUUCUGUUCGGCGGCUUGUGCCGUGCACGUAGUACUAUGCCGGACAUUGUAGUAAUUUUUGAUCCCUGACUUGAGGAGGCUCACCGUUGGAUCAGAGGCCAUACACAAACUGGAAUUAAAAUAAAAACUUAAAAAAAAAAAAAUGAGCCUAAGAUUGUAUGCUAACUUACUGGAAGAAAAACUUAAAAAAAAUUAAUGGAAGCCAUAGACACCAACAUCAGCAUGACACAGCCCAGGGCAUAGAAGGUGAGUGAGAGAGGGUAGCAAAGAGGGAAAAGGUGGUGGGGGGGUGGGGGGACUAAGAACGUGGAAAAAGUGUUCUCUGAAGGAUGUGACAUUGGCACUUGACCUUGAUGUGGUCACAUGUUAGAGAGGAUGACACGGUAAAUAAAGCUUAUAGAAACUGGUAGUUAUGAGAGAAGACUGAAGAGAGAUGGCAUGUUCUUAAAUCCCAGCUCUGCUUCCUAUCCCUGUGACCUUGAGUAAGUUACUUAGCCUCUUUCUUCCUCAGUCUCCCUACUUGUAAAAUGAUAAUAAUAGUGCCUGUCUCAUAAGGUUGUCUUGAAGAUUCCCCAAAAUACCACCUAGAAAGCACGUAGCUAAAAUGUGGUGAUGGUGGCUGGUGAUACAAAGCUCAUGGGAAAGCCAAGAACAGAACUGGUCAAAUGGGAGGGGCGUACUGUAACCUGGUGAAAAUGUCUUGCCAGGGGAAACUCGUGUGGCAUUGGUUCAUCUUUCCUGGUCAUUUGAACCUGUAGUUGCCAGCCCCCUUAUUAGAUCCGAUGGGCAGACAUCUAAUCGGCCAUCUCAAUGGGCCAAAGCAUCAGUUGGACAACUUUUGGAGCGGGUGUUUUAUUUUGAAUCAGAUGGGAAAUGUGUGACCUCAGUUAGUGAUAAAGUGCCAACUAGGAAACUCCAGCACCUCCUUCUUAUGAGGGUCGGCCAGCGUUGUGGCUGCUUUGGAAAGACGGAGGAGGAAACAACUGGUGUAUUUGCUUCUGGCGGCUGUCUUGGUCACAGGGAUUUCAUAAGACCAACAUGUUUGUCAAAUGCAUCAGCCAUACGCUGAUGCUUUUAUGAUAAAGUAAAAAAAAAAAAAACCACUUUCUUUAACUUGUCUCUA